ensembl:lncRNA
AAGAGCAAAGCCCAUGAAGCCUCGUCCAGACCAGCAGGGAAAUUCCAUGUCAUUGGGUUCUGCCCACACAGGUGGGAGCCCUGCUCUGCGGUGACCCCAUCAUUCUGCGGUGUCCCCCACCCCCGUUCUGUGUCUCUCAGUGCCUCUGAGGCACUGUCAGAACGAUGACCCAUCGCAGCAGGCUCCGGGCUGGCUGAAGGUGCCGAUGCAAAUGUCAACACCAGCCCUGUCAUGAUGUCAUAAUCUAAAGGUCAGCAGCUGGGUCCCCUGGCAUUUGGGGUCUGCAGGGGUGGAUAGGUUCUGUCACUACCCCCAGCCACAGAGCCCAGACCACAUCCAUCCACUGGCUUCCAUGGGGCCUGGGACUGGGCUGGGCCCUGGUGGCCACUGGGAGACAGUGUUUGAGGACACAGAAGCCCCUUGGAUGGGUGCGGUAGCCGCCGGGCCUUCAGUGUGCUCUCUUAAGCGCUUUCUUCCCGUCCUCUAGAACGAGCUCACUUAGCCUGCCUCCCUUCCAGACUUGAGCACAGUGUGUAGAGCAACCACCGUCUCCCGAGAGGUGUUGGAGAAGACAGGACCACAGAAUGUGACCUAUGAAGGCUGAUAAACUCAAAAAAGGCAAGAAGCAGCUGCGCAGCACUGGAGAGGUGGUGCCUUGCACAGGAAGAGACAGGUGGGCUGGGAGAGAAGCUGUUUGCCCACGGUCUGCAAACUUGGAGAACUGCAGCCCGGACAGGGAAAAGAGACUAGUAUGAACUGAACUCAACUUUGACUUUACAGAAGUAACUGAGUGUUUUCAAAGGAGAAUGAAGGACUAUGCAGGACGGUGGACAGAGCUCAGUAGAGUCAGCCAGUUAGAUGUGCAAGAUGUUUACAAGGACAUGAAGAUUCUUCCAGACAGCACAUAACCCAGGCACCUGUAAUUCUUGUCACCUCACCUGGCAUUUUCUCUAAAAGUUAAGAGAACAAAUUUUAGUGCCUGGCAGACUUGAAUUCACGUCCAGACUCCUUCUUUAGUAACUGUGAUGUUCCUAAGCCUCAGUUUCCUUAUCUGGGAAAUGGGCUAAUAACAAGGGUUGCUUAUGAGGACCAAAUGAGAAGACACAGGGAAAGUGCUUGGUGGAGCGUCUGGUGGAGUUACAAGCCUAAGCAACCCGUCAGGAUGUUCAUUUCUGCACUGCAAGACCUCGUGCACAUUCACUGGUCAAGGAAGGUCUGUCUGGGGAACUGACCUAAAGCACGAGGGACAGGAGGAGACUCACCGUGCCCUUAACUACCGCCACACUUAAGGCAGCCGUGCUUUACGACAGCCACUGAGACAUGGAACUGGAGGUGCAGCACACUAUGAAAGGGAAACUUCAAGACCCAGGGAUUGAACCCACAUCUCCUGCAUUAGCAGGCAAAUUCUUUACUGCUGAACUACCUGGGAAGCCCACUAAAUGUUACCCUGUUUUAAUUAUAAGAUGAAGGAUAAGAUGCCUGAUCUAUCUUCUUAAAACAUCUAUAUACCAGGGUUCAAAUCCUGGGUCCCAGAAGGAGAGAGCAGACUGCAGGGAUGUAUUAAGACAAUGUAUCUUCCAACGUCUUUUACGUGCUUUCAGCUUCCUGAACUGAAACCUGGACGUGCUUGAGGUGAAGACUGUUGCAGAUUGAAUUCCUAGAGAGAAGAUGGUUGGGCCAAAGAUUAUGAAUGUUUUUCAGGUUCAAGAGUGCUAUGGUUAAACGUCCCUCCUGUCAGUGAUCAUAAUACAACACUUUAAAAAAGUCCUCCCUAAAAAAAAAAUAUACAAUAAAAAAUAAAAAUAAAAAAAUAAAAAAGUCC